rnacentral:rRNA from 1 species
UACGUAGGGGGCAAGCGUUGUCCGGAUUUAUUGGGCGUAAAGAGCGUGUAGGCGGCCAGGUAGGUCCGUUGUGAAAACUCGAGGCUCAACCUCGAGACGUCGGCGGAAACCAUCUGGCUAGAGUCCGGAAGAGGAGAGUGGAAUUCCUGGUGUAGCGGUGAAAUGCGUAGAGAUCAGGAAGAACACCGGUGGCGAAAGCGCUCUGCUAGGCCGCAACUGACACUCAUGGACGAAAGCUAGGGGAGCGAAUGGG